CCCUCUACUGCGCAUGCGCCGACCCGUGUUGGCCCGCCCCAUUUAAAAGGGGGACCAGCUGGCCCGCAUCUACUGCAGACUGAUCGGUCCCCCGACGAGACAUCGGUCCCCCCUCCUUAUUCUGUCAUUUGCAUGCCUGUUAUUUUCCACUGUGUAUAACGAUUUUUUUUUACUCAUAUCUGAACACACUAUCUGUAAUAUACAACAGGAUAUAACGGUAUAGACUCAAAGAGCCCAGGGUUAACCUGGAACUGGGUUUCCAGAGCAUUUGAGAAGAGUGCCCCGCGGCUCUAUAUAAUGAGUUAUCCGGGGAUGUUAAGAACAGUGACAGUCUGGCAAUCUUCAAGAAAGCGCUGAAGACUUACUUAUUCACUAAGUCCUACGACUUAACAAAUAUGAGGAUUGAAGACAACUUUAGGUGCUAAUAUUACUGUUAUAAUGGUACGUAGUGCCCCUGUGGAGCGCUGCUGCGGCGGCAGACCGGGGCCUGAAACUUCAUCAACGGUAUCAAAACGUACAACUAAAAGCCUUCAGUAAAUUGGUUUCCCUUCUUUCUGUAUCACUUGUUGGGGUUAUUUCCUAGGCGAGACUGCUGCCACAUUAAUAAUUAUGGUCACCAAUCCUUUACAAAAUACCUAUAUAUGCUCUAGAUUAAUAUUAUGAAGACUGUAACAACUCCCUUAGGUUAGUAUGUUUUGGGAGGCGCCCACCAGGUUACGUUAGGAUAGGCUUCCCAACCCCAAAAUCCACAUGAUGAGGCGGGGGCUCUUGGAAGCCAGCACUCAGCAGAUGCGCAAUCAACGUAAUAAAAUUCAUAAUAUUAAAGAUGAAGAGCUAUAGUCCAUGUAGUGAUAUUCUAAAAGCUUUACCCCUAUAUGAUGAGCUAGUGCUGAUUUAAAUAGAUAGAGACUGAAGGAUGACCAGGGAUUCUGAGAGGCUAUUUUAUACUGGUGGACUCUAGUGGGUAGAUCAGGAGUUAGAACAAAUAGGUCUGAAGGAGCGAUUGCAGAUUUAUUACGAAAGAUCUGCCAGUACUUGAUUAUGUUCAUUAUUGUGUGUGGGGGAUUUAGCUUAUAGUUUAUUUUGGGGGUCUGGGGGGGCACACAUUACACAACUUAUGCUUCCAUUCACUUAAAUUUAAGCACAUACCAGAAACCGGUAAUUACGCGGCUCUGGAGUACGAUAAUCUGGCAACGGUGCCCUCGAGCCCCGAGCUCGCCUGCCUCACCUCAGCAGCCGCACCCUUUUUUUAGUAUGGUAUUUUACCUGUAUACAAUAGGUACAGGAUGUAAGCCAUGAAGUUGUGACCUCAUCUUCCCAGCAGGAGCAGAAGGCUAGCAAUCCUGCCCUCCUAUAUGUGUAUGUGAUCCUGCGGCAGUGAAAGGCCGACAGUCCUGCCCUCCUGAGUGUGUGUGUGUUUUGUCUUGCUACAAGAUCAGAAACGGUUUGAGCCAUACCAUGAAAGGGAGGAGCAUGCCGUCCCAACCCCCAGACAGUACAGAGUGUGAUUAUACAACUAAGGAUACAUGUGUAAUUAAGUAGCACCAGGAAUUAAAAAAAACAUUAUAUCCUUGCAUGUAUCUAUAUUAUAUUUGGAAAAAUAUGCUUGUUGUAUGUAUCCCUGAUAAUAAAAUUUAUCUACAUGUGCUUAAAUUUAAGUGAAUGAAAGCAUAAGAGAGUAAAGUGAAUGGAAGCAUAGUGAGUAAAGGUCUAAAAAACACUAUAUCCUUGUAUCUAUAUUAUAUUUGGAAAAAUAUACUUGUUGUAUGUAUCCCUGAUAAUAAAAUUUAUCUAUAUAACUGUUGCCAACAAGCACCAAUAAUUAACCAUUUAAACGAUAUCCAUAUAUGAAGGCAGUUAUUUGGGUGAUGAAAGCAGUUUAAUUAUUGGGUCGGAAAUCGGCAAACAUAAAAGGCUCAGUACGACAAUCUAGCAAUGUUGCUCGGGGGGACCGAUUUUUCCAGUGUUUUGGAGUGGGCCGAGUAGCGCAUAUAAACACAGGUCGGCGCAUGCGCAGUAGAGGGGGGAACAGGGGGGAACGUUCAGUCUGCCACACCCUGAAGUGCCCUGGCAGUGUUUCUCGUGGAGGAGGAGGAGCCCCUCGGCAUGCAGGCCCCCAGGCACAUGACUUUGUGUCCCAAUGUCCACCACUGGUGUUAGUGUUGAAGUGAGGCAUCGAGACAGUUGCUGUGGUCAGUCCUUGUUCCGUCCCUGCUGCCGCUGACUUCAGGACUCCUUGGUGCAUCCCUCGCCUUGCCUGCUCAAUUGGUCACUGAGUGUGGCUUUGAAGCAACCUCGCCGCCUUCUCCAGCAUCUCUGAGGUUCCUCAAGGCCAGCCAACUCCUCACAUCCAGAGUAGUGUUGCAGUGGAGGCUGCAAGGCGGGACAGCAGCUGGAGUGGCUGGGAACAGCAGGAGCAGACUGCUACUGGUGUGAGGUUCAGGAGUGAUAAAAAACACCGCCAACACAACCACCAACAACAACAACAACUGCUGGCCUCUUCAUCCACAAAGGGGGAAGUUUGAAUUUCAGAAGUGUGAGAAGAUCUGAGAAUGAGAGCAAGUUUACUGACCAAAGCCAAGAGUGUGAGAAAAGACAUGCAGGGAAGGAUGACCUCAACAAAUACACCCACACACUCUGGUGUAAGACCUCAUGAAAGUCGGGAGUGUGGCAAAAGGUUUAGGAAUAGGAGUAACCCCAAACAUCACACCCUUACACACACUGGUGCAAGAAACCAUGAGUGUGAAGUUUGUGGGAAAUGUUUCAAUCAGAAGGGUACCCUCAAAUUACACACCCUUACACACACUGGUGAAAGAAAUCAUGAGUGUGAAGUUUGUGGGAAAUGUUUCAGUCACAAGGGUAACCUCAAAUUACACACUCUUACACACACUGGUGAAAGAAAUCAUGAGUGUGAAGUUUGUGGGAAAUGUUUCAGUCAGAAGGGUAACCUCAACACACACACCCUUACACACACCAGUGCAAGAAAUCAUGAGUGUGAAGUUUGUGGGAAAUGUUUCACUGAGAAGGGUAACCUCAAAUUACACACUCUUACACACACUGGUGAAAGAAAGCAUGAGUGUGAAGUUUGUGGGAAAUGUUUCAGUCACAAGGGUAACCUCAAAUUACACACUCUUACACACACUGGUGAAAGAAAUCAUGAGUGUAAAGUUUGUGGGAAAUGUUUCAGUCUGAAGGGUACCCUCAAGAAACACACUCUUACACACACUGGUGAAAGAAAUCAUGAGUGUGAAGUUUGUGGGAAAUGUUUCAGUCUGAAGGGUACCCUCAAGAAACACACUCUUACACACACUGGUGAAAGAAAUCAUGAGUGUGAAGUUUGUGGGAAAUGUUUCAGUCGGAAGUAUAACCUCAAAUUACACACUCUUACACACACUGGUGAAAGAAAUCAUGAGUGUGAAGUUUGUGGAAAAUGUUUCAGUCGGAAGGGUACCCUCAAAUUACACACUCUUACACACACUGGUGAAAGAAAUCAAGAGUGUGAAGUUUGUGGAAAAUGUUUCAGUCGGAAGGGUACCCUCAAAUUACACCUUGUUACACACAGUGGUGAAAGAAAUCAUGAGUGUGAAGUUUGUGGAAAAUGUUUCAGUCAGAAGGGUACCCUCAAAUUACACCUUGUUACACACACUGAUGCAAGAAGUCAUGAGUGUGAAGUUUGUGGGAAAUGUUUCAGUCAGAAGGGUACCCUCAAAUUACACCUUGUUACACACACUGAUGCAAGAAGUCAUGAGUGUGAAGUUUGUGGGAAAAGGUUCAAACUGAAGAGUAUAUUGAACAGGCACGUCUUCAGACACUCUGGUCAUAAAGGGUUCAAGUGCGAUGUUUGUGGGAAACGUUUCAUGACUAAGGGUGAGAUUGUCAAGCACAUGAAGGUCCACUUCUCCUGAGGUGCUGUGCUGAUUCAGUUCUGCUGUGUGUCCGUGGUGUUAGUGUCAACUCGUAGGAGACACCACGGGUUCCUAUAAGAAUUGGCGGGUUGUCCAACCCCACCCCAACAAGAACCACCAAUAAUAUUCACGAAUCAUGUGCGAUUGAAAGUAAUGUUAAAAAUAUGAUAAUAUAUCAAUAUGUUUAAGUGCAAACGAAAAAUAGUGUACAUCAUCGUAAGGAAGAGAUUAAGGUGUUUAUUAGAGUGCGCGUUCGGGCUCCCUUAACCCCGUUGACACUGGUGAGUUAUGGGUCUGUUUAGUGUUUACAUUGUUCACCCGCACCGGGACGUCCAUCACCCCUUCAAGGUUUACAUCAUUUUCACAUGGUAAGUACAACAUUUAAGUAAUUUUUGAAUGCAUAAAAACACCAAGCUUUAGUAAUUCUUGGUCAGAACCAUGUUAUAUGCUCUUGCGCUCUAUCAAGCUUGGGCCAGCUGGUACAUCCCGCCAGUUUCAGUAAAUAAUUAUUCCAUUGCAGGCAUUUGCGGCAUAUCUGGAACUCCUCGAUCUUGUGGGUCAAGUUGAGGAGGUGAGGCUUCCCAGAGACCGGCAAAACCCAUUCACCUGUCUCUCUGAGGAGGACUUCAUAGAUCGCUACCGUCUCUCACCAGCUUGCACACUCCAACUGCUUGAGAAUGUACAGCCCCAACUACCCAGAGCACGAGAUGGCAGAGGCUGCAGUGUUCCUGGUCACCUGCAGCUUCUUGUAGCAUUACGCUACUUUGCCAGCGUGAACUUCCAGUUAACCAUGGCAGACUGUUUGGAGAUGUCUGCUUCUUCAGUCUGCAAAUUUGUUCACCGCAUAGCUGUUAUACUAGCACGCAUGUCACCUAAUUACAUCAAGUUUCCUGAACCUGCCAAUACACGUCAGGUAGCAGAGGACUUUCAUGCUGUCGCUGGCAUGCCUGGUGUCAUCGGCUGUAUUGAUGGAACAUUGAUUCCAAUUGUGAGUCCUGGCGGAGACAUUGCAGAAUUAUACUGCUGUAGGAAGGGUUACUUUGCCCUAAAUGUCAUGGCAGUUUGCGAUGAAAAAAUGCGUUUCACUAAUGUCAUUAGUAGUUGGCCAGGAAGUGUCCAUGACAGCCGCAUUUUUUAUAAUUCUAGGCUUUGUCAGAAAUUAGAAUAUGAAGGUUACUCAGGUUAUCUUUUGGGAGAUUCAGGGUACGCAUGCAAGUCUUACUUGUUGACUCCGGCACUGGAUCCCCAAACUGAACAAGAAAACAGAUAUAAUGCAUCACAUAUACGCACACGCAACACUGGAGGAAUCUGACAAAUAAAUAUUAUUUUUGUAUA